AACUUACAACAAUGGAUCUCUUGGCUCUCGCAGCGAUGAAGAACGCACCGAAAUGCGAUAAGUAAUGUGAAUUGCAGAAUUCAGUGAAUCAUCGAAUCUUUGAACGCACCUUGCGCUCCUUGGUAUUCCUAGGAGCAUGCCUGUUUGAGUGUCAUGAAAUUCUCAACCUUUCUGGCUUUUGCUAGUCAGGCUUGGAUUAUGGGAGCUGCUGGCUUUUGAAGUCGGCUCUUCUAAAAUGUAUUAGCAAGAUCAUUGCUGCUUAUCAUUGGUAUGAUAAUUAUCUAUAUCAUUGAGAGUCAGUUUCCUUUAUUGGAAGAUUUUGCUCCUAACGGUCUUUAGCAAGACAACAUUUGACAAUUUUGACCUCAAAUCAGGUAGGACUACCCGCUGAACUUAAGCAUAUCAAUAAGCGGAGGCU
rnacentral:misc_RNA from 1 species